rnacentral:SRP_RNA from 1 species
GCUGGGCAUGGUAGCGCGUGCCUGUAAUCCCAGCUACUUGGGAGGCUGAGUCAGGAGAAUUGCUUGAACCCAGGAGGCGAAGGUUGCAGUGAGCCGAGACUGCGCCACUGGACUCUAGUCUGGGUGACAGAGCGAGACUCAGUCUCAU